rnacentral:tRNA from 1 species
GGAGGUGUAGCUCAGGAGUAGAGCACUUGCCUAGCGUGCAUGAGGCCCUGGGUUCCAUCCCAGCACUCCA